CUAAGGUCGUAGGAGGUUAUACAGGCAAAUCCGUAUAACAAUACUCCGAGAACUGAAAGGCUUUUUGAAGUCUUCGGAUGGAUAGAAGAACCCCUGAUGCCGUCGAGCCAAGAAAAGUUUCUAAGUUUAGCUAAUGUUGCCCGUACCGUAAACCGACACAGGUGGGUGGGAUGAGUAUUCUAAGGCGCGUGGAAGAACUCUCUUUAAGGAACUCUGCAAAAUAGCACCGUAUCUUCGGUAUAAGGUGUGGUUAGCUUUGUAUUAGGAUUUACUCCGAAAGCAAGGAAACUUACAACAAAGAGUCCCUCCCGACUGUUUACCAAAAACACAGCACUCUGCUAACUCGUAAGAGGAUGUAUAGGGUGUGACGCCUGCCCGGUGCUCGAAGGUUAAUUGAUGGGGUUAGCAUUAGCGAAGCUCUUGAUCGAAGCCCGAGUAAACGGCGGCCGUAACUAUAACGGUCCUAAGGUAGCGAAAUUCCUUGUCGGUUAAAUACCGACCUGCAUGAAUGGCGUAACGAGAUGGGAGCUGUCUCAAAGAGGGAUCCAGUGAAAUUGUAGUGGAGGUGAAAAUUCCUCCUACCCGCGGCAAGACGGAAAGACCCCGUGGACCUUUACUACAGCUUGACACUGCUACUUGGAUAAGAAUGUGCAGGAUAGGUGGGAGGCUUUGAGUAUAUGACGCCAGUUGUAUAUGAGCCAUUGUUGAGAUACCACUCUUUCUUAUUUGGGUAGCUAACCAGCUUGAGUUAUCCUCAAGUGGGACAAUGUCUGGUGGGUAGUUUGACUGGGGCGGUCGCCUCCCAAAUAAUAACGGAGGCUUACAAAGGUUGGCUCAGAACGGUUGGAAAUCGUUCGUAGAGUAUAAAGGUAUAAGCCAGCUUAACUGCAAGACAUACAAGUCAAGCAGAGACGAAAGUCGGUCUUAGUGAUCCGGUGGUUCUGUGUGGAAGGGCCAUCGCUCAAAGGAUAAAAGGUACCCCGGGGAUAACAGGCUGAUCUCCCCCAAGAGCUCACAUCGACGGGGAGGUUUGGCACCUCGAUGUCGGCUCAUCGCAUCCUGGGGCUGGAGCAGGUCCCAAGGGUAUGGCUGUUCGCCAUUUAAAGCGGUACGCGAGCUGGGUUCAGAACGUCGUGAGACAGUUCGGUCCCUAUCUGCCGUGGGCGUAAGAAGAUUGAAGAGAUUUGACCCUAGUACGAGAGGACCGGGUUGAACAAACCACUGGUGUAGCUGUUGUUCUGCCAAGAGCAUCGCAGCGUAGCUAAGUUUGGAAAGGAUAAACGCUGAAAGCAUCUAAGCGUGAAGCCAACUCUAAGAUGAAUCUUCUCUAAGCUCUCUAGAAGACUACUAGUUUGAUAGGCUGGGUGUGUAAUGGAUGAAAGUCCUUUAGCUGACCAGUACUAAUAGAGCGUUUGGCUUAUCUUUAAUAAAGCAU
rnacentral:rRNA from 1 species